rnacentral:rRNA from 1 species
UACAGAGGUGGCAAGCGUUGUUCGGAAUUACUGGGCGUAAAGGGCGCGUAGGCGGUCUUGUAAGUCUUGUGUGAAAUCUCCAGGCUUAACUUGGAAACUGCCAUUGAUACUAUCAGUCUUGAAUACCGUGGAGGUCAGCGGAAUAUGUCAUGUAGCGGUGAAAUGCUUAGAUAUGACAUAGAACACCAAUUGCGAAGGCAGCUGGCUACACGAAUAUUGACACUGAUGCACGAAAGCGUGGGGAUCAAACAGG